AUGCCAUGUUUGAUUCACACACCCUUUUUGCUAACUUUUGUGCUUCUCUCCCAUCUCCAGCUAUGUUUUUCACAAGAUUACAUUAUUGGUGGUGGUGCUAGUGAUGGUGGUGGCGACUCUCUGCCUGAGGCAGAGGCACCACCGGAGCAAAAUGAAUGUAAUGGGAUAUUCUUAACGUACACAUUUUUUUCAAGGGAAAAAGAAUUUCCACAUGUGAAGAAUGCUUCUGCCCAGGCUUGGGCGUUCAGAGCUCAGGCAACGUUGUUUGAACGCCGGCACCACGGAGCUGGAGGGUUGGAAGAUGUACAUUGGGUUUCAACAUAGAGAGAUUUUAGUGUCGGCGAGUGGGGCGGUGUUGGUGGACGGUUCGGAUUUUCCGGCGGAUGUGGGGAAAGGGGUGAUCUUGGCUGGGUACACACAAACGGACUUGAAAACGGCGAUAGAAACUGCCGGAGAUUAUAACCAAAUGCAGAUGACGAUUGAUAUCACCGGAACACAAUUCGGUGUGAAGAAGAAUGGAAUUCCGAUGCCGAAAACAAUUGGCCUUGAAAACGAAGGCUUUAAGUGUCCGCAGCCACGCCGUCAUCGCAGCAAAAGCUAUAUGCACAUUUGCUGCAAGAAAGACCCCAAAUUCAAGGAAAAACCACCAAAGAAGACGAAGUUUUUGCCGAGACAAAACGGCGAUCUCUCCCUCACCUAUGAUGUUCUCCAAGCUUACGGCAACAACUAUCUCGCACAAGUCUCCAUCGACAACAACAACCCUCUCGGCCGCCUCGACCAUUGGAACUUAACUUGGGAAUGGAUGAGAGGAGAAUUCAUUUCCACCAUGAGAGGAGCUUAUACUCACAGAACUGAUUCCUCAGACUGCAUCUUUGGCCCUCAAGGCCAAUACUAUCAAGAUUUUGACUUCUCCCAAGUCAUGAAUUGUGAGAAAAAUCCCAUCAUUGCGGACCUUCCUUCCGAUCGAGCCAACGAUUCCAAGGUUGGGAAGUUACCCUUCUGCUGCAAGAACGGCACGAUCUUACCGUCAUUGAUGGAUCAAAGCAAAGCAAGGUCUAUUUUUCAGCUCCAAGUCUAUAAACUUCCUCCUGACUUCAAUAGAACUGCCUUGUACCCUCCUCAGAAAUGGAAGAUCAAUGGCAUUCUUAACCCCAAUUACAAAUGUGGAGCUCCCAUUAGAGUUGAACCAACAGAAUUUCCUGACUCGACUGGACUUCAAGCCAUAACCACAGCCAUUGCUAGUUGGCAAGUGGUUUGCAACAUUACAGCUCCAAAACCUAAACAAUCUAGAUGCUGUGUUUCUUUCUCUGCUUAUUAUAAUGACUCUGUUAUCCCUUGCAAUACUUGUGCUUGUGGAUGUGAUGAACCUCAAACUUGCAACCCAAAUUCUUCCCCAUUGCUUCUUCCACCAGAAGCCCUUUUAGUUCCAUUUGACAAUAGAACUAUAAAGGCAAAAGCUUGGGCCAAAAUCAAACACUUACCAAUCCCAAAGAAGCUCCCUUGUCCUGAUAAUUGUGGAGUUAGUUUAAAUUGGCAUAUAAACUCAGAUUAUAGCAGUGGUUGGACUGCUAGAAUCACUCUUUUCAAUUGGGAAGAAUACCCUUUUGAGGAUUGGUUUGCUGCUGUUCAAUUGGAUAAAGCUGCUAAAGGGUAUGAGAAUGUGUACUCUUUCAAUGGGACUAAACUCCCACUAGAUAUGAUCAAGAACACCAUCUUCUUUCAAGGAUUGGAAGGUUUGAAUUACCUGAUGGGGGAGACGAAUGGGACGGACCCGAAAUUCGAUCCGCGAGUACCGGGAAAGCAACAAUCGGUGAUCUCGUUCACUAAGAAGAAUAUGAGGAACCUUAAUAUAAGGGAAGGAGAUGGAUUCCCUUCAAAGGUUUAUUUCAAUGGAGAAGAGUGUGCAAUUCCUCCUCAUAUUCCAUUAGGAAAUGAUGCUGCACAUAGCCUUCAAGUCAGCUCUGGACCUUUAACGCUGCUACUUACAGCUGUGGCCUUUUUCAUAGCCAUUAACUAAAAAAGCAGUUUUAGAGGAAGUGAUUUUGGAUGAGCCAAGUGGUGGGAGAAUUGGUGUUAGUUCCAUUGUGCUUGGAUAGAUGGAGGAAGGAUGAUGAACUGAUGUUA